rnacentral:rRNA from 1 species
UACGGGGGGGGGCAAGCGUUGUUCGGAAUUACUGGGCGUAAAGGGCUCGUAGGCGGCCAACUAAGUCAGACGUGAAAUCCCUCGGCUUAACCGGGGAACUGCAUCUGAUACUGGAUGGCUUGAGUUCGGGAGAGGGAUGCGGAAUUCCAGGUGUAGCGGUGAAAUGCGUAGAUAUCUGGAGGAACACCGGUGGCGAAGGCGGCGAUCCUGGACCGACACUGACGCUGAGGAGCGAAAGCCAGGGGAGCAAACGGG